UUGGAGGGCAAGUCUGGUGCCAGCAGCCGCGGUAAUUCCAGCUCCAAUAGCGUAUAUUAAAGUUGUUGCAGUUAAAAAGCUCGUAGUUGAAUUUCGGGGUCAAUAAGUUGGUCGUGCCAAUGGUAUGCACUGGCUUUAUUGAUUCCUACCUCUUGACGAACUGUGAUGCCAUUAAUUUGGUGUCGCAAGGAAUCAGGACUGUUACCUUGAAAAAAUUAGAGUGUUUAAAGCAGGCUUACGCUUGAAUACAUUAGCAUGGAAUAAUGAAAUAGGACGUUCGAUCCUAUUUUGUUGGUUUCUAGGAUUGACGUAAUGAUUAAUAGGGAUAGUUGGGGCAUUAGUAUUCAAUUGUCAGAGGUGAAAUUCUUGGAUUUAUUGAAGACUAACUACUGCGAAAGCAUUUGCCAAGGAUGUUUUCAUUAAUCAAGAACGAAAGUUAGGGGAUCGAAGACGAUCAGAUACCGUCGUAGUCUUAACCAUAAACUAUGCCGACUAGGGAUCGGAUGAUGUUAAUUUUUAAUGACUCAUUC
rnacentral:rRNA from 1 species